rnacentral:rRNA from 1 species
GAUGAACGCUGACAGAAUGCUUAACACAUGCAAGUCAACUUGAACUUCGGUUUGGGUGGCGGACGGGUGAGUAACGCGUAAAGAACUUGCCUCACAGAUAGGGACAACAUUUGGAAACGAAUGCUAAUACCUGAUAUUAUGAUUUUAGGGCAUCCUAGGAUUAUGAAAGCUAUAUGCGCUGUGAGAGAGCUUUGCGUCCCAUUAGCUAGUUGGAGAGGUAACGGCUCACCAAGGCGAUGAUGGGUAGCCGGCCUGAGAGGGUGAUCGGCCACAAGGGGACUGAGACACGGCCCUUACUCCUACGGGAGGCAGCAGUGGGGAAUAUUGGACAAUGGACCAAGAGUCUGAUCCAGCAAUUCUGUGUGCACGAUGAAGUUUUUCGGAAUGUAAAGUGCUUUCAGUUGGGAAGAAAAAAAUGACGGUACCAACAGAAGAAGUGACGGCUAAAUACGUGCCAGCAGCCGCGGUAAUACGUAUGUCACAAGCGUUAUCCGGAUUUAUUGGGCGUAAAGCGCGUCUAGGUGGUUAUAUAAGUCUGAUGUGAAAAUGCAGGGCUCAACUCUGUAUUGCGUUGGAAACUGUGUAACUAGAGUACUGGAGAGGUAAGCGGAACUACAAGUGUAGAGGCGAAAUUCGUAGAUAUUUGUAGGAAUGCCGAUGGGGAAGCCAGCUUACUGGACAGAUACUGACGCUGAAGCGCGAAAGCGUGGGUAGCAAACAGG